rnacentral:rRNA from 1 species
CCUACGGGGGGCAGCAGUGGGGAAUUUUGGACAAUGGGCGCAAGCCUGAUCCAGCCAUGCCGCGUGUCUGAAGAAGGCCUUCGGGUUGUAAAGGACUUUUGUUAGGGAAGAAAAAGGAGCGGUUAAUACCCGUUUCUGCUGACGGUACCUAAAGAAUAAGCACCGGCUAACUACGUGCCAGCAGCCGCGGUAAUACGUAGGGUGCGAGCGUUAAUCGGAAUUACUGGGCGUAAAGCGAGCGCAGACGGUUACUUAAGCAGGAUGUGAAAUCCCCGGGCUCAACCUGGGAACUGCGUUCUGAACUGGGUAGCUAGAGUAUGUCAGAGGGGGGUAGAAUUCCACGUGUAGCAGUGAAAUGCGUAGAGAUGUGGAGGAAUACCGAUGGCGAAGGCAGCCCCCUGGGAUAAUACUGACGUUCAUGCUCGAAAGCGUGGGUAGCAAACAGGAUUAGAUACCCGAGUAGUC